GAGCAACUUAGGAUUUUAGGCUCCCCGGCAUGACCUCGAAACCAUGCCGGGCCAAACCACCGGGGCUGGCGGUCCCCGGAUGGUCAAAAUUCCAUCCGCCGGAG
ncrna:unclassified sequences PreQ1-III riboswitch